UCAGAAAACUCUAAUUCCCAAAAUUCCUAACCCUAACAGCCGCAACCUCACCCUCCUUCAACGUAACAAACAAAAGCAGCCACUGUAGAGAGAAGAGGGAUCGGGAGAAGAAGAGAGGAGAGGAAAGGCCUGCCCAGCCAUCACCACCGCAGCGCCGCUGCAGCUAUUGCCUCCUUCAGAGCUGCGGAAAGUCGUCCUCCUUGCCGUCGAAUGCCGCCGUCGUGUCGCACAUGAGAGAGAGAGAGAGACAGAUUCGAGAGGAGCUACCCGUGAUCGCUGCCAUCGAAGCCAGGCUCGUCGCCGUCACCACCAACGAAGCUGCGAGGAGCCGCUGUCGUGCUCGUGUCGCUGUGCACCGUCGAGCUUCCCUCACCCUGAGCCGUCGAUCUGUCGCCACCGCUAUAAGGGCUUGUCGCUGGAGCCACGACUGUCACUGAGCUUCUGUCGCCGCUGCCGUUCAAGCCGCUGCUGCCGUCGAUUUGGAGUUGCUGCGAUUGGAGCCACUAGCGGGGGUCUUCCACCAUCACUGGAGCUGCCCAGAAUCAUCGUGGAAGCUGCCAAGAUAUAUGGUUGAUUUCUAAUUAUGCCAAGACAUCAUCACUAAUUAUUGUCUCAUGUAUACAAUCCCUUAUUUCUUGAACUUUCUAAUCUGUUGUCAUCCUUAGAUUCCACUGAAGGCCACCCCACAUCAAGUAACAUGCUUUGCGGAGAAGAAUCUAUAUCCACUUAUUGUCUCAGUUCCUGUUCCUAAACCACUUAAUCAAGUUGUUUCUCUAGUUGAACAAGAUUCCAACCAUCAGAGUGAGAAGUCUGUUGAAUAAAACCGUUUUUAUUCUGUUGAUGAAUUUGAGGUUCGUAUUAUGGAGCUAGAUAAGUCUGGUGGCCCUUGGCAAACAAAGGCAACAAUUCCUAUGCAAACUUCUGAAAAUGCCCUUACAGUGAGAAUGGUUACACUGUUGGUAAUAGAAUAGAUCA